UAGUGGCGAACGGGUGAGUAACACGUGAGUAACCUGCCCUUAACUCUGGGAUAAGCCUGGGAAACUAGGUCUAAUACCGGAUAGGAGCGCCUACCGCAUGGUGGGUGUUGGAAAGAUUUAUCGGUUUUGGAUGGACUCGCGGCCUAUCAGCUUGUUGGUGAGGUAAUGGCUCACCAAGGCGACGACGGGUAGCCGGCCUGAGAGGGUGACCGGCCACACUGGGACUGAGACACGGCCCAGACUCCUACGGGAGGCAGCAGUGGGGAAUAUUGCACAAUGGGCGAAAGCCUGAUGCAGCGACGCCGCGUGAGGGAUGACGGCCUUCGGGUUGUAAACCUCUUUCAGUAGGGAAGAAGCGAAAGUGACGGUACCUGCAGAAGAAGCACCGGCUAACUACGUGCCAGCAGCCGCGGUAAUACGUAGGGUGCGAGCGUUAUCCGGAAUUAUUGGGCGUAAAGAGCUCGUAGGCGGUUUGUCGCGUCUGUCGUGAAAGUCCGGGGCUUAACCCCGGAUCUGCGGUGGGUACGGGCAGACUAGAGUGCAGUAGGGGAGACUGGAAUUCCUGGUGUAGCGGUGGAAUGCGCAGAUAUCAGGAGGAACACCGAUGGCGAA
rnacentral:rRNA from 1 species